UAGGGAAUCUUCCGCAAUGGGCGAAAGCCUGACGGAGCAACGCCGCGUGAGUGAAGAAGGAUUUCGGUUCGUAAAGCUCUGUUGUUAGGGAAGAAUGGAUAUGUAGUAACUAUACAUGUACGAGACGGUACCUAACCAGAAAGCCACGGCUAACUACGUGCCAGCAGCCGCGGUAAUACGUAGGUGGCAAGCGUUGUCCGGAAUUAUUGGGCGUAAAGCGCGCGCAGGUGGUUUAAUAAGUCUGAUGUGAAAGCCCACGGCUCAACCGUGGAGGGUCAUUGGAAACUGUUAAACUUGAGUGCAGGAGAGAAAAGUGGAAUUCCUAGUGUAGCGGUGAAAUGCGUAGAGAUUAGGAGGAACACCAGUGGCGAAGGCGGCUUUUUGGCCUGUAACUGACACUGAGGCGCGAAAGCGUGGGGAGCAAACAGGAUUAGAUACCCCCGUAGUCC
rnacentral:rRNA from 1 species